AUUGAACGCUGGCGGAAUGCUUUACACAUGCAAGUCGAACGGCAGCACGGACUUCGGUCUGGUGGCGAGUGGCGAACGGGUGAGUAAUGUAUCGGAACGUGCCCAGUCGUGGGGGAUAACGUAGUGAAAAUUACGCUAAUACCGCAUACGAUCUAUGGAUGAAAGCGGGGGAUCGCAAGACCUCGCGCGAUUGGAGCGGCCGAUAUCAGAUUAGGUAGUUGGUGGGGUAAAGGCCCACCAAGCCAACGAUCUGUAGCUGGUCUGAGAGGACGGACAGCCACACUGGACCUGAGACACGGUCCAGACUCCUACGGGAGGCAGCAGUGGGGAAUUUUGGACAAUGGGCGAAAGCCUGAUCCAGCCAUUCCGCGUGCAGGAUGAAGGCCCUCGGGUUGUAAACUGCUUUUGUACAGAACGAAAAGGUUUCUACUAAUACUAGGAGCUCAUGACGGUACUGUAAGAAUAAGCACCGGCUAACUACGUGCCAGCCGCCGCCGUAA
rnacentral:rRNA from 1 species